GCCUAUAUACCGCCGUCGUCAGCUUACCCUGUGAAGGUUCAAUAGUAAGCAAAAUGGGCCCGCCCAAAAACGUCAGGUCGAGGUGUAGCGUACGAAGUGGAAAGAAAUGGGCUACAUUUUCUAUAUACAGAAUAUUACGAAUGAUGCAUUGAAAUUAUGCACCUGAAGGUGGAUUUAGUAGUAAAAAGCAAACAGAGUGUCCUUUUGAACUAGGCUCUGAGACGCGCACACACCGCCCGUCACUCUCCCCAACAUUACACCCCAACAAUACCUAAUAAAUUAAUUAUACCCACGGGGAGGCAAGUCGUAACAUGGUAAGUGUACCGGAAGGUGCACUUGGAAUAA
rnacentral:rRNA from 1 species